rnacentral:rRNA from 1 species
GUACACUCCUGCGGGAGGCAGCAGUGGGGAAUUUUGGACAAUGGGCGAAAGCCUGAUCCAGCAAUGCCGCGUGAGUGAAGAAGGCCUUCGGGUUGUAAAGCUCUUUUGUCAGGGAAGAAACGGUGAGAGCUAAUAUCUUUUGCUAAUGACGGUACCUGAAGAAUAAGCACCGGCUAACUACGUGCCAGCAGCCGCGGUAAUACGUAGGGUGCAAGCGUUAAUCGGAAUUACUGGGCGUAAAGCGUGCGCAGGCGGUUUUGUAAGUCUGAUGUGAAAUCCCCGGGCUCAACCUGGGAAUUGCAUUGGAGACUGCAAGGCUAGAAUCUGGCAGAGGGGGGUAGAAUUCCACGUGUAGCAGUGAAAUGCGUAGAUAUGUGGAGGAACACCGAUUGCGAAGGCAGCCCCCUGGGUCAAGAUUGACGCUCAUGCACGAAAGCGUGGGGAGCAAACAGGAUUAGAUACCCGAGUAGUCCC